UGCAAAGAUGCACAGAGAUAUUCAUUGCAGGACAGGAAUAUUCACUGGCAAACAAGCAAACUGGAAACAAUCUAAAUUUUUAAUAAUUUAGGUAUGAUGAUACAGAUUUUGCUAAGCUGGUGCAACAGAAUACUACAUAGUGAUUAAAAGAGAAGGAAUUGACAUGGUAUGAAGUUUAUGCACAACUAGUAUAUACUAGGAUGCCAGCUUUGAAAAUAAGUAUGUAUAUUCAGAUGUAUUUUGCAAUUUUACAAAGGUGAUAUAAUAUCAUAGAGUCAUUGCAAUGAAGGGGAUUAUACUCAACUGGAAUCAAGACAUUCAUAUUCUUGUGUUGACUUUAUUUCUAACUAGUUGCAUGACUUUUGGGCAACAUUUCUCUCUUGGUCUCAGUUUCUUCAUUUCUAACAUGGGCAGUGUGUGGGAGGCUGAAUAAGGGCCCCAAAGAUAUCAAGUCCUAAUCUGUGGAGCCUAUAUAUGUUAACGUUGAAUAGAAAAAGGGUCUUCGCAGAUGUAAUUAAGUUAAGGAUUUUGAGAUAGGGAGAUUAUCUUGGAUAAUCAUAAGUGUAAUUGUAAGUAUCCUUAUCAAAGGAAAACAGAAAGGAAUAUUACACAGAAGAGGAGAAAACAAUAUGGUGACCGUGGAGGUAGAGGUUAGAGUGAUGCAGCCACAAGCCAAGGAAUGCCAACAGCCACUGGAAGCAGGAAGAGGUAAUGAGAACUCUGUAACCCAAGAUGUUUUGCAUGUUGUCUUAGCCACCAGAAAGCUCAGAGAUGCAUUGCCCCAGAGGACGCCAUGAACAAGGACUGACAAAAGCAAAGAAUACAGCCAAGGCAGUGAGCAAAGUGUCACCUUAGGAGGUUGGAUGCUGAUUUUAUUUGAAUGUCAGUCAGCAAUCCUACAGUAACCUGACUCCAAAGACGGCUGCCAUGAAUUCCUUCCCUCCCUGUACUUCCCCGUUGAGGAGCGGAGUCUCUAGAAUCUGAGCUGGACUGGGUUUGACCUACAGAACACUGUAGAAGUAUAUGGCAUGAGAGAGUAUAGCCAGCUCCAGGCUUGGCAUUCAAGAGGAAUGGAGUUUCUGCUUCCUGUAUUUGGGAGCCGUGAGCUGCCUGGUAAGAAGGUUAGACCAUUCCACUCAAGAGAGAGGUUGCAUGCACAGGCACUGAAGGCCUAGAUGUGUGAGCAAGGAGGCCAUCUUGGGGAACAGCCAGCCCAGCUGAGCCUACAAAAGACUCCAGCCCCAGUCAUCUGAUGGCAGCCACAGAAGGGAGCCCAGAAAUGCCCAGCUGAGCCCAGACUGCAACACAGAAGGCUUCCGGAAGAUACUGCACAUGAAGGAAAUGAAGAGGAGCAAGCAGAGCAGCAUGCUGGAAUUCCUGCACCUGCUGCUCCCCAUGCUGCCCUUGCGGGUGGAAAGCUCCAGCUCACUGUCCCUGAUGGCGCCAACACCAGACCAGGAAUUGUCUGGCAUCUGCAAACUCAUUAAAAAGAGACUGUGGGGCCGGGCGUGGUGGCUCAUGCCUGUAAUCCCAGCACUUUGGGAGGCUGAGGUGGGCAGAUCACUUGA